rnacentral:rRNA from 1 species
UUGAACGCUGGCGGCAGGCCUAACACAUGCAAGUCGAGCGGUAGCACAGAGAGCUUGCUCUCGGGUGACGAGCGGCGGACGGGUGAGUAAUGUCUGGGAAACUGCCUGAUGGAGGGGGAUAACUACUGGAAACGGUAGCUAAUACCGCAUAACGUCGCAAGACCAAAGUGGGGGACCUUCGGGCCUCAUGCCAUCAGAUGUGCCCAGAUGGGAUUAGCUAGUAGGUGGGGUAACGGCUCACCUAGGCGACGAUCCCUAGCUGGUCUGAGAGGAUGACCAGCCACACUGGAACUGAGACACGGUCCAGACUCCUACGGGAGGCAGCAGUGGGGAAUAUUGCACAAUGGGCGCAAGCCUGAUGCAGCCAUGCCGCGUGUGUGAAGAAGGCCUUCGGGUUGUAAAGCACUUUCAGCGGGGAGGAAGGCGAUAAGGUUAAUAACCUUGUCGAUUGACGUUACCCGCAGAAGAAGCACCGGCUAACUCCGUGCCAGCAGCCGCGGUAAUACGGAGGGUGCAAGCGUUAAUCGGAAUUACUGGGCGUAAAGCGCACGCAGGCGGUCUGUCAAGUCGGAUGUGAAAUCCCCGGGCUCAACCUGGGAACUGCAUUCGAAACUGGCAGGCUAGAGUCUUGUAGAGGGGGGUAGAAUUCCAGGUGUAGCGGUGAAAUGCGUAGAGAUCUGGAGGAAUACCGGUGGCGAAGGCGGCCCCCUGGACGAAGACUGACGCUCAGGUGCGAAAGCGUGGGGAGCAAACAGGAUUAGAUACCCUGGUAGUCCACGCCGUAAACGAUGUCGACUUGGAGGUUGUGCCCUUGAGGCGUGGCUUCCGGAGCUAACGCGUUAAAUCGACCGCCUGGGGAGUACGGCCGCAAGGUUAAAACUCAAAUGAAUUGACGGGGGCCCGCACAAGCGGUGGAGCAUGUGGUUUAAUUCGAUGCAACGCGAAGAACCUUACCUGGUCUUGACAUCCACAGAACUUUCCAGAGAUGGAUUGGUGCCUUCGGGAACUGUGAGACAGGUGCUGCAUGGCUGUCGUCAGCUCGUGUUGUGAAAUGUUGGGUUAAGUCCCGCAACGAGCGCAACCCUUAUCCUUUGUUGCCAGCGGUUAGGCCGGGAACUCAAAGGAGACUGCCAGUGAUAAACUGGAGGAAGGUGGGGAUGACGUCAAGUCAUCAUGGCCCUUACGACCAGGGCUACACACGUGCUACAAUGGCAUAUACAAAGAGAAGCGACCUCGCGAGAGCAAGCGGACCUCAUAAAGUAUGUCGUAGUCCGGAUUGGAGUCUGCAACUCGACUCCAUGAAGUCGGAAUCGCUAGUAAUCGUAGAUCAGAAUGCUACGGUGAAUACGUUCCCGGGCCUUGUACACACCGCCCGUCACACCAUGGGAGUGGGUUGCAAAAGAAGUAGGUAGCUUAACCUUCGGGAGGGCGCUUACCACUUUGUGAUUCAUGACUGGGGUG